AGGCUGUAGCCAUAGAAACCGUUGAAGGAGCUUUACUGGCCGGUUAUCGAAGUAUCCGUCGAUUUUCUUGCUUACCGAGCUUCUCACAUCU
rnacentral:snoRNA from 1 species